GAGUUUGAUCGUGGCUCAGAUUGAACGCUGGCGGCAUGCCUUACACAUGCAAGUCGAACGGCAGCAUGAUCUAGCUUGCUAGAUUGAUGGCGAGUGGCGAACGGGUGAGUAAUACAUCGGAACGUUGCCCUGUAGUGGGGGAUAACUAGUCGAAAGAUAGCUAAUACCGCAUACGACCUGAGGGUGAAAGUGGGGGACCGCAAGGCCUCAUGCUAUAGGAGCGGCCGAUGUCUGAUUAGCUAGUUGGUGGGGUAAAGGCCCACCAAGGCGACGAUCAGUAGCUGGUCUGAGAGGACGAUCAGCCACACUGGGACUGAGACACGGCCCAGACUCCUACGGGAGGCAGCAGUGGGGAAUUUGGACAAUGGGCGAAAGCCUGAUCCAGCAAUGCCGCGUGUGUGAAGAAGGCCUCGG
rnacentral:rRNA from 1 species